UUCUCGGUGAGUAAGUGGAGCAAUGGUCGUAGUCUCUCGAGGCCCCGCUCCCCUGCGGCCUAAUCUCUAAGUCCGGGCCGCGGUCGGCGUUCUCCUCUGGGGCUCCGCGCCCCGAACCUUGGCUUCCUCAUCUGCCCUGAGAUGGGAUAAUCCCCACAGGAAGUAAUUUAAGUGCACAAGACAUUGGUCAAAAUGGUUUCCAAAAGAAGACUGUCAAAAUCUGAGGAUAAAGAGAGCCUGACAGAAGAUGCCUCCAAGAUGGGGAUUUCACUCUGUCACCCAGGCUGGAGUGCAGUGGUAAUAUCAUAGCUCACUAUAGCCUCAACCUCCUGGGCUCAAGUUAUUCUUCCGCCUUAGCCUCCGAAGUAGCUGGGACUACAGAAACCAGGAAGCAACCACUUUCCAAAAAGACAAAGAAAUCUCAUAUUGCUAAUGAAGUUGAAGAAAAUGACAGCAUCUUUGUAAAGCUUCUUAAGAUAUCAGGAAUUAUUCUUAAAACGGGAGAGAGUCAGAAUCAACUAGCUGUGGAUCAAAUAGCUUUCCAAAAGAAGCUCUUUCAGACCCUGA
rnacentral:lncRNA from 10 species